rnacentral:rRNA from 1 species
UGGGGAAUAUUGCACAAUGGGGGAAACCCUGAUGCAGCGACGCCGCGUGAGCGAAGAAGGCUUUCGAGUCGUAAAGCUCUGUCCUAUGAGAAGAUAAUGACGGUAUCAUAGGAGGAAGCCCCGGCUAACUUCGUGCCAGCAGCCGCGGUAAUACGAAGGGGGCUAGCGUUGCUCGGAAUCACUGGGCGUAAAGGGCGCGUAGGCGGACUUUUAAGUCGGGGGUGAAAGCCCAGGGCUCAACCCUGGAAUUGCCUUCGAUACUGGGAGUCUUGAGUUCGGAAGAGGUUGGUGGAACUGCGAGUGUAGAGGUGAAAUUCGUAGAUAUUCGCAAGAACACCGGUGGCGAAGGCGGCCAACUGGUCCGAAACUGACGCUGAGGCGCGAAAGCGUGGGGAGCAAACAGG